UGGGAGUAGGGUUGGGCAGUAUUCGAAGCUUGCUGCUUCCAAGAAAAGUUUGGAUGAUUCCGCCAUCCCGGGUUGUAAGUGGUAGAAUAUGGAUCAUUACCCGGUCGGGAUUGUGUUUGGGCAGCAUUUACUUGUUCUUGCACAAAUUCAGGGAAUUGAGCUGCCGAAGGGCAUUCAUGAAUAGGGUGAGACGGGCUAGAACAAAGA
rnacentral:lncRNA from 1 species